AAGACUUGUGAAAUAUUACUACACAUCUUCUGAAUGCAACUCAAACACUUUAAUUAAGCUAAAGCCUC
rnacentral:tRNA from 1 species